rnacentral:rRNA from 1 species
AUUGAACGCUGGCGGCAGGCCUAACACAUGCAAGUCGAGCGAGCGGCGGACGGGUGAGUAAUGUCUGGGAAACUGCCUGAUGGAGGGGGAUAACUACUGGAAACGGUAGCUAAUACCGCAUACCAUCAGAUGUGCCCAGAUGGGAUUAGCUAGUGGGUGGGGUAAUGGCUCACCUAGGCGACGAUCCCUAGCUGGUCUGAGAGGAUGACCAGCCACACUGGAACUGGGACACGGUCCAGACUCCUACGGGAGGCAGCAGUGGGGAAUAUUGCACAAUGGGGGCAAGCCUGAUGCAGCCAUGCCGCGUGUAUGAAGAAGGCCUUCGGGUUGUAAAGUACUUUCAGCGAGGAGGCGUUACCGACAGAAGAAGCACCGGCUAACUCCGUGCCAGCAGCCGCGGUAAUAC